rnacentral:lncRNA from 1 species
AAAGUAAUGUUCUUGCUAUCUUGUUUGCGCAAGUUCAAAUGACAGCUGAAUGAACUUUUCUACAGAGACCUGUUGGAUGCUGCCUUACUUGCACAGGAUUAAAUCGAACACUACCAGAUAAUACUCCUUGCUACGCCCUCCGAACUGAAGACGCUAAAGCGAUAAAACCAUUCGCACAACGAAGUUGCCCCCUGGGACAGUGCGAAAAAGGGGUGUGUUCGCCAACCGGAGAAUACGAGCUGUGUGGAAGUGCUCUUGGAUGAA